rnacentral:lncRNA from 1 species
CCCUGGUCCAAGAUGGCGGACGAGGCCACCCGGCGGGUCGUGUCUGAGAUCCCGGUGCUGAAGACUAACGCCGGACCCCGAGAUCGGGAAUUGUGGGUGCAGCGACUAAAGGAGGAAUAUCAGUCCCUUAUCCGGUAUGUCGAAAACAACAAGAAUGCGGACAAUGAUUGGUUCCGACUGGAGUCCAACAAGGAAGGGACCCGGUGGUUUGGAAAAUGCUGGUACAUCCACGACUUCCUCAAAUACGAGUUUGACAUCGAGUUUGAAGUGAGUGUGAUAGAAUGGGAAGUAUGAAGGUUAGUAGAAAAGGACUGAUCAGCGGAUUGUCGACAAGCUGACCUCUCAUGAAGGGACCAAAUAAAGCUUUUGAAGUGGGAGGGGAAAGCUGAGGUUUGAAGCAGAUGUGUAACAAUUACUAAUCUCUUUGUCUAGAAUCCUGGUGUGCACAUGCCGCUUGGGGAAUCAGCUAAACAAGCAGUUCAACCAAGAGAUAUAUAUGUUUGAUUAGACUGGUUCAUUUUUCUCUCGAUUCUCUGUUUUAUUAUGGCUUUGUAAUUUCUCCAGAUUCCUAUCACAUAUCCCACUACUGCUCCAGAAAUUGCAGUCCCUGAGCUGGAUGGGAAAACGGCAAAGAUGUACAGGUAGGACUGCCCAGGAGGUGAGAAAGAGCAAAGGAAGCCUUAGGGAGGAGCUGCAGAGACACGUGCUUUCCCCAGGGCCUGCUGCUCCAGAGUCUAGAGGGAGUCCUGGUCUCCUAUGUCAAACCUAUGCAAAGUACUUAGCUGACCUUGUGCUCCAUUCUGAGCACUCAUCUUCCUGUGUUCCCAAGAGGCCGCUGUACAUUAAGCUGGUUUCAUGUGUUAACACCUUCCUCUUGUCCUUCUCGUAG